rnacentral:rRNA from 1 species
AUUGAACGCUGGCGGCAGGCUUAACACAUGCAAGUCGAGCGGAGAUGAGGUGCUUGCACCUUAUCUUAGCGGCGGACGGGUGAGUAAUGCUUAGGAAUCUGCCUAUUAGUGGGGGACAACAUUCCGAAAGGAAUGCUAAUACCGCAUACGUCCUACGGGAGAAAGCAGGGGAUCUUCGGACCUUGCGCUAAUAGAUGAGCCUAAGUCGGAUUAGCUAGUUGGUGGGGUAAAGGCCUACCAAGGCGACGAUCUGUAGCGGGUCUGAGAGGAUGAUCCGCCACACUGGGACUGAGACACGGCCCAGACUCCUACGGGAGGCAGCAGUGGGGAAUAUUGGACAAUGGGGGGAACCCUGAUCCAGCCAUGCCGCGUGUGUGAAGAAGGCCUUAUGGUUGUAAAGCACUUUAAGCGAGGAGGAGGCUACUGAGACUAAUACUCUUGGAUAGUGGACGUUACUCGCAGAAUAAGCACCGGCUAACACUGUACCAGCAGCCGCCGCCGUAA